rnacentral:misc_RNA from 1 species
AAGACUAUAGACCUGCGGAGUACCUGCGGAGGGAUCAUUACCGAGUGCGGGCCCUCUGGGUCCAACCUCCCACCCGUGUUUAUUGUACCUUGUUGCUUCGGCGGGCCCGCCACUCUGGCCGCCGGGGGGCUUGCCCCCGGGCCCGCGCCCGCCGAAGACACCCUCGAACUCUGUCUGAAGAUUGUAGUCUGAGUGGAAUUAUAAAUUAUUAAAACUUUUAGCAACGGAUCUCUAGAUCGG